UACGAAGGGGGCUAGCGUUGCUCGGAAUGACUGGGCGUAAAGGGCGCGUAGGCGGUUUGCACAGUCAGGCGUGAAAGUCCUGGGCUCAACCUGGGAACUGCGCUUGAUACGGCAGAGCUAGAGGAUGGAAGAGGGUCGCGGAAUUCCCAGUGUAGAGGUGAAAUUCGUAGAUAUUGGGAAGAACACCGGUGGCGAAGGCGGCGACCUGGUCCAUUACUGACGCUGAGGCGCGACAGCGUGGGGAGCAAACAGG
rnacentral:rRNA from 1 species